CAAGGCUGCGGUCGCAGCCUUGAACCCGCGGUACCUGAUCCGGCCACGG
rnacentral:ncRNA from 1 species